rnacentral:rRNA from 1 species
CUGAGUGCCUGUAGCGAUGAGGUUAUACCCGUUCCCAUUCCGAACACGGCAGUCAAGCUCAUCCGCGCCGAUGGUAGCCUAGCUUCUUGCUUUGGUAAGAGUAGGUCGGUGCUCGGA